rnacentral:rRNA from 1 species
UAGGGAAUCUUCCACAAUGGGCGCAAGCCUGAUGGAGCAACACCGCGUGAGUGAAGAAGGGUUUCGGCUCGUAAAGCUCUGUUGUUAAAGAAGAACACGUAUGAGAGUAACUGUUCAUACGUUGACGGUAUUUAACCAGAAAGUCACGGCUAACUACGUCNCA